GCCACGGUAGCUCAAUGGCAGAGCAACGUAUGUAAGCAUACGGAAGUAUGCCGGUUCGAUUCCGGCCCGUGACGCA
rnacentral:tRNA from 1 species